rnacentral:rRNA from 1 species
CCAGCUCCAAUAGCGUAUAUUAAAGUUGUUGCGGUUAAAAAGCUCGUACCGGUCCGCCCUCUGGGUGUGUAUCUGGCUCGGCCUUGGCAUCUUCUUGGAGAACGUACUGCACUUGACUGUGUGGUGCGGUAUCCAGGACCUUUACUUUGAGAAAAUUCGAGUGUUUCAAGCAGGCACACGCCUUGAAUACAUUAGCAUGGAAUAAUACUAUAGGACCUCGGUUCUAUUUUGUUGGUUUCUAGAGCUGAGGUAAUGAUUGAUAGGGAUAGUUGGGGGCAUUCGUAUUUAACUGUCAGAGGUGAAAUUCUUGGAUUUAAGACGGACUACUGCGAAAGCAUUUGCCAAGGAUGUUUUCAUUGAUCAAGAACGAAAGUUAGGGGAUCGAAGACGAUCAGAUACCGUCCUAGUCUUAACCAUAAACUAUGCCGACUAGAGAUUGGAGGUCGUUUUUUUACGACUCCUUCAGCACCUUAUGAGAAAUCAAAGUCUUUGGGUUCCGGGGGGGAGUAUGGUCGCAAGGCUGAAACUUAAGGGAAUUGACGGAAGGGCACCGCCAGGAGUGGAGCCUGCGGCUUAAUUCGACUCAAC